ACAGAUGAGACUCUUAAUGGCUCUGAUGACACAGAUAGUAUUGAUGCUGAGAAGCAAUAAUAAUACCCAACACACAACUAACUGAUGCAUAUCACAGCAUCUGAAAGACUGAAACUUUUAUUAUUUAGCUGUUUACAUGAAGACUACUAUGGGCCAAUACCAGAAUGGAGGGAGCCAGGCUGCUGGAAAAAUGCAAUGCUGUGUCUUUAAAAAUUCAGAGUUGAUUUUUCAAAAGCAAACACUGUUUGCAUCGUAUCAGUCUUCAGCUCAUUUCAGAAACAGCUAAACAAACUGGAAGAUGACGUCAAGCCACUGAUUUGAUCACCAUUUGCUGACUCCUCUGUACAGGUUUUGUUUUUAUAUAGAUUAACAUUUGCAGAAGGAAAAUACAAAGAAGAAAUACUUUAACAUUUCACAAUAAAUAUAAUACAUUUUAAAGUAACAAAUCAACAGCAAUAGCGUUUUUUUAAGGUGCCCUUCACAGUGGUAUCUCUGUUGUGCCCAACCAUUGUGCAACAAUUAAAGAUAGCACUGACUGUGUUUUCAAUUACAAUAUUCUCACAGCCUCUGUUUUAUUUCAACUGUGAUUAACCAAACCCCAGCUGUCCAAAUUUUACAAGUGUGCCCCAAACCCAAAAUUUUGUUUUUCCAAAAUUCUGAUUAUCUGAAUUUCAGAUAUUCUGAACACAGGGCAUCUGUCUAUGGAAAUAUAUAAACAAAAAUACACAUGCACAAUGCAAUUUAAAUCUGUGCAUGCUUACCCUCAGUCUAAGAACUGAAGAGGCUUUCACCUGUAGAGACAAGAACAAAGUUAACAUAGACACAAUAUCAUGUAUCCACACAAAUAUACAGUGUGAAGUCUGUUAUAAUUUAAUUUAUAAAUAUUUGCAUUGCGGAAGAACAGAGAGAUUCCAGUAAGGGAUCGGGUCUCCAGUAUGCUAGGUCUGUACACACAUCUUGAAAAAAAAAAAGGUCCUAAUCCAAAAAGCCUUCAAACUAAGGCUCUGAUUCAGAGAAGUGUUUCUAUUCAGGAAGGGCACUAAAGCACAUGCUUAACUUAAACAUAUGCUUAAA